GGCGUUAACGUGAGCGUCCUAAGGUAGCGCGAUAAUUUGCUUUUCAAUUGAAGGAUGGUAUGAAAGGGUUAACGAAGAAGGUGCUGUGUCUAAAAAUUUAAUUUAAACUAACUUUAAGGUGAAGAGGCCUUUAUGUAAAAGAAGGACGACAAGACCCUAUGAAGCUUUAUCUUAAUUGGAGCUUUCAGGCUCGCAUACGAUUUUGAUGGGAAUCAGUAGAAAUAAGUCUUCUACUAUUAUAUUAAUCUUACUAGUAUUUCCUAACUUUAUAUGUGUGGCUAGCUACUCUAGGGAUAACAGCGCAAUUUCUCCCGAAAGAUGGUAUUGGAGGGGAAGAUUGCGACCUCGAUGUUGGCUUUAGAUACCCUAGAGGCGUAGAAGCUUCU
rnacentral:rRNA from 1 species